rnacentral:rRNA from 1 species
UACGUAAGGGGCGAGCGUUGUCCGGAUUCAUUGGGCGUAAAGAGCGUGUAGGCGGCCAGGUAGGUCGGCUGUGAAAACUCGAGGCUUAACCUCGAGAUGUCGGCCGAAACCAUCUGGCUAGAGUCCGGAAGAGGAGAAUGGAAUUCCCGGUGUAGCGGUGAAAUGCGCAGAUAUCGGGAAGAACACCCGCGGCGAAGGCGGUUCUCUGGGACGGUACUGACGCUGAGACGCGAAAGCGUGGGGAGCGAACAGGAUUAGAAACCCUUGUAGU